GACGAACGCUGGCGGCGUGCCUAAUACAUGCAAGUCGAACGGUCUUUUCUAUGGAAGCUUGCUUCCGCUGAGAAGAUAGUGGCGAACGGGUGAGUAACACGUGGGUAACCUGCCCAUAAGAGGGGGAUAACAUCCGGAAACGGGUGCUAAUACCGCAUAGUUUUCUUGAUCGCAUGAUUGAGAAAGAAAAGACGGCCUUUGUGCUUUCGCUUAUGGAUGGACCCGCGGCGUAUUAGUUAGUUGGUGAGGUAACGGCUCACCAAGACGAUGAUACGUAGCCGACCUGAGAGGGUGAUCGGCCACAUUGGGACUGAGACACGGCCCAACCUCCUACGGGAGGCAGCAGUAGGGAAUCUUCCGCAAUGGACGAAAGUCUGACGGAGCAACGCCGCGUGAGUGAAGAAGGUUUUCGGAUCGUAAAACUCUGUUGUCAGAGAAGAACAAGUCGGAGAGUAACUGCUCCGGCCUUGACGGUAUCUGACCAGAAAGCCACGGCUAACUCCGUGCCAGCCGCCGCAGUAACAC
rnacentral:rRNA from 1 species